UACGAAGGGGGCUAGCGUUGUUCGGAUUUACUGGGCGUAAAGCGCACGUAGGCGGACUAUUAAGUCAGGGGUGAAAUCCCGGGGCUCCAACCCCGGAACUGCCUUUGAUACUGGCGAUCUUGAGUCCGGAAGAGGUGAGUGGGAACUCCUAGUGUAGAGGUGGAAUUCGUAGAUAUUAGGAAGAACACCAGUGGCGAAGGCGGCUCACUGGUCCGGUACUGGACGCUGAGGCACGAAAGUGUGGGGAUCAAACAGGG
rnacentral:rRNA from 1 species